rnacentral:lncRNA from 1 species
AGCCAUAUUCAUCAAUCACUGUCAUAGGGAAUUGUAAAAUUAUUUGCAUUUCUAGUCUUUAUAGCUGUAAUUGAUGAUAGCUAAUUACGAUGCAUCCGUUAUACGCGAUGGCUCUGCAACAAAAACAUGAAAUCACUUGCCCUCACUGAAUCUAAACUUACUAGAUCAUGUACCCAUUAUUGUUGAUUUUCCUUAAUUAUUCUUUUAUUUUAGGUUUGAUGUCUUUUGGACGACUGAAUCUCACAUAUCCCUUUCCUCGAAUGAUGGAUGUGUACACAUUUUUAAUGGUCGUCGAUCAUUGGGUGCGAGACCUCCCCCCUAUCUCUCUCACACGGCACUUGUGAUUAUCUCUGCAACUCUUGGACUCUGAAAGAAGAAGAAGAAGUAAGGGAAAUCAUGUACAAAUGAAAAGUCUCUUUUAUUCCCAGCGCAUACGUCUAAUAGGUAUGUUUUGAUUUUAUUCUAUUAAGUUUAAUCUGUUGUAUAUCAAACCCAACUGAGUCUUAUACCCAAGGAUAUUCGUACAUCACCGACCCGAACUUGUGUCUCGUAUACGAGUCUAUUGAAGCCAUUAAUGGUGCUCUGUCCGGUCUGUCCCUGACAUCUUUUAUGAUCUAUGCCACCCAACUGGGGACGACGUCCACUGCGACUUCCAUUCAAGGAUUGAUUUCAGCGACCUACUUCGGACUAGGGGCUGGAAUCGGAAGCUCGGUCGGCCGAGUCCUGAUCGGAGCGUUCGGCAAGCGAGUGGUUUUCCGCAUUUUGGGAGUCAUCGCUUUCCUCACUGGAUUCCUCUACUUCCUCUUUAAUAUUUUUUACUUGCGUCCAAAGGCCAAUGAAAAAAUAACACUACCGUUGACAAGACUGAUUCAAGUGUAAACGUGAAGGUCGAAGAAAUUCAGUGACAUUCAACGUCCGUUAGUCUUUUUAUAGCAAACAGCAUCUAAGCAAACUUCUCUCCUAUAAGCCAUUAAAUUGGUCGUUAAUUGACUAACUUUUUGACUAAACAUUUUUUUAGCUCAUUUACAGAUUGAAGCCUAUGAAAUAUUUAGAAUUUUAAAGACUAAAAGAAUUUCAGUUAUUGUCAUAAUAAUUUAAUAAAUCAAUAUAUAAGAAGUGUCAGUAUAUUUAUUUUUUGUUUACCCUUUUGACCAAGUGGGUAACAUCGCGUCGCUUCCAUCUUCUAGAAUCCAGUAGUUUUCGGGACUUCCCUGAAUCGGACCAAUCUUCAAUUAGUAACGCCAUCGGUCCUCUUCGGUCCUCACCAUCGGUCCUCACCAUCGGUCCUCUUCGGUUCACGCCAUCGAUCCUCUUCGGUCCUCGCCAUCGGGCCUCUUCUUUCCUCGCCAACGGCCCUCUUCGGUCCUCACCAUCGCUUCAGGGAAACAUAAACCGGUCACAAAAUCGUGCUUCAAUAAGCUGGAUAGAAUAACGAUGCUUA